ensembl:lncRNA
UUUGUAUCCAAUGAUUGUACGUUGGCUAAUAGGACUAAUGGUAGAGGCAGAUUACCCACUCGCCGUCGGAUCCUUACAAGGCACCUCAACCUACAUCCCGGAUGUCUCUUUCUCCUGCAAAUCAUAGGGAUGAGGGCCUUGUCGGGUGUCUGAAGUAAAUCCUUCGCGUCCGACUCGUUAAAGAAAAAAAUCUUCAUCCAGUACGAGGUGAGUAAUCGCUGUUCUGAUAUCCAGAAGCUCUUUUCGGUCAAAACAGACAGUGGCAGAAACAUUCUGUACAAAAUAUGUUACAAAAAAACACACACAAUAGCACAAUUGGCUAAGUGCCCGUAAAACAACAGCCAUCUCCUCCGGCGCCAUUCACUAUCUACAGACAAUGCUUCUACAAAAUGAUAGCAAGGAUGGAGUUUGAUAACAUCUGCAGCUCCACAGUGUGACUUUCACCAUUUUGGAAUGUAAACAAUUCUUCUUCUACAUGGUUUAGCAUAUUAAACGAACGACACACAUCAACACAGGACAGUGGCCCCCAAGUGGUCAACAAUGAAAUUACACAAUAGCCUAAAGGAACUCAAACAUAAAUACCAAAAUUGAGAGAACUUAGGCAAAAAUUCAAGCAAUUUAAAAUGUGUUUGCUCAACUUGUCUCAUGUUCAUUUGAAAUAUAAAUUAUUAUUUGUGCAUCUUUACUAAAAAAGGCUGUGUAACUGGUUACACACACAGAAACAUUGCUUUUAACAUACAAUGUUUUAAACGUACAUAUUUGACACAUGAUUACAUUGUGUGUCAAGGCAGGGUAGCCGGGUAGCCCAGUGGUUAGAGCGUUGGACUAGCAAGUUCAAACCCCCGAGCUGACAAGGUACAAAUCUGUCGUUCUGCCCCUGAACAGGCAGUUAACCCACUGUUCCUAGGCCAUCAUUGAAAAUAAGAAUUUGUUCUUAACUGACUUGCCUAGUUAAAUAAAGGUAAAAUUAAAUUCUACAUUUAUACAAUAAUUAUUGUGUCUUCACCUGGGAUUGUCAUACCCAAGAAGACUCGAGUACAGAGUAAAGGUUCUGAAUACUUAUGUAAAUGUGAUAUUUCUGAGGGGGGGUUUAUUACAUCUGCAAAAUUUCUAAAAACCAGUUUUACCUUUGUCAUUAUGGGGUAUUGUGUUUAGACUGAUGAGGGGGGAAAUCAAUUUUAGAAUAAAGCUGUAACGUAACAAAAUGUAGAAAAAUUCAAGGGGUUUGAGUAUGUAUGUUGAAAACAUUGUAUGUUAAAAGCAUUGUGUGUGUAACUAGUUCCACAGCCUGGUUUAGGUAAGAUGCCCAAUUUAUUUUCACAUGAGACAAUUUCACAUAUGAGACAAUUUGAGCAAAUACAUCAUUUUAAGUUGACUGAAUUUUUUGGCUUACAUUUUCUCAAGUUGAAACUAAGCACACUUUUAUUUCAGGUAUUUUUGGGGGUUCAGGUAAUAAAUACAUGAAAAGUUGAGGAAACAGGCUGUGGAACCACUUACCUUAUUAUAAUUACAUUUAAACUAUGAAUUAUAAACAACAAUUUCUCCAUUUAACUGUUCAACUCUUUCUAACUAAAAUAUUCUCAAGGAAGAGAAGAGAGGUUUUGCACUCCCUCCCUCAGCCCAGCCAACCACCUUUUUAGAGUUAAAGGUCUUCUAAAGGGUUUUAAUAGAUGACAAGAGAGAUUAUCCAGGGCAGGUCAUGACCACAUGGUGUGAGAGAGUGGGACCAGACUACAUGGCAGGAACCCAGUGGUGGCCUGGCCGGCCUGAGCCACACACCAUGACAACAUUCCACACAGCCCAGAGAGAUAAGGAAACUAAUAGUUUCGCUCUACGCUCAGAUGCUCAAAUUAUUUCACUUUUUAUGCACUUGCCCUUGGUUCAAAAUUUCUUGUUUCAGUUCAGUGUUCCUGAUAACACUUUCAGUGAACCAUCUGUGUAAUGGUUAUAUAUUCAUUUACAAUAUACUGUCUAGUAUAAUAUAGUAUUACAGUGGAUUUUGGGGCUUUUAUACACACUGUCAUAAGGAACCAUGAAUUCUUAUGACCCUUUUGCAAUAGGUUUCUGUGGUCCUCAUGUCUCAGAUAAAUAUCUUGGCUAUCUUCCUUUAUAAUAGUAUUCCAUUCAUAUUUUCCCUUAGUAGUGUCCUGUGGUUGGCUGGCCACGCCAAGGUACAUGGUCGACUUUUUAUUCAUUCACAUUAUUAGACACACUUUCUGAUAAUAAAAUUAGCGUAAAUCGUAAAAUUCAGAAAAAUGAAAACGGAAUUUGGGAAAAACUAUAACGAAUUUCAUAGGGCUCAACAAAGUGUAUUGUAUACUCCGCUUUUAAUAACCCACCUCAGAUGUUAUACCUACUUGGUACUACUGUAUGUGUUGCCUGUUUCACAGUUUGUUUUGUUCAAAUCACAUGCUUGAGUAUUUCAAAUAAAAGCCAUUGGCAGUGAGUGUCCUGAAAUGACAACCCAAGCGACUUUCAAAAGCCCAUUUAGCGUGACUCAUUUUACGGUGCAUGUGCACUAGAUAGCGGUAAAUUGCAGCGUGUCGCUUAGGCCGCCCAUUGUGACUCGCUUGUGGGCGUGCUGGCAGCAUAUAGCAGCAUGUUCGAUUAUGCGUCAAGAAUACAGCAUAGCAAGUUUGUAUGAAGGUCUGGUUAGUAAAUGGGUACAUGGUUCAAUAGUAAUAUCCUCUAAAACGCACUGGUGACAAACAAACUUUGCUGCCCUGUUUCCAAUUGUCCACAUGGCAGGGAGAACCUAUUCAAGUUGUCUGUCCUCAGAUAAAGAGCUAUGAAAGCCUACAUGUCUACAUGUGAAGAGCAGUGGUUCUCAAUCCCGGUCCUGGGACUCAAAGGGAUACCUUGUAACUGGAGAUUCCUUCAAAACGAUUGACUACAGUUAUCGUGUAGGGCACUGCAAGGUUGGGUGACCAGGACCAUUUGGGACUGCCUCCUGGAGGAAUUCAGCAUAAAGUAUUCUGCAGCCACUUAGUGUGGUGUGAACACCAGGUUAUAUCAGCUGUGUCGGUCAACCCCUCCCACAUCUGAACUGGCUACAUAGAGGGCACAGCAUGAUCAGAGUUAUGUUUUGAUGUGAGAGAGGAUGCCAACCCCCAGUCCCAUCAUCGCCACCUCACCUGCUUUUAAGAUAACCUUCGGGCCGACGAGACACUAGUAUGUAAUUGUGAUGAACUGAGAAUAUUUGGGUAGCACUGAUUUAUGAAUCAUAUCCCUGCUCCUAUGUUCUUAUCUCUUUCCCUUUCUGUCUUUUACACCUUUCUCGCCACCUCCUUUCUUCCUCUGUUUUUAUAAUGCACAACAGAUGUGCAUUGAAGUAUAGAUUGAAUUUGCAUUGAUAUUAUAAUUGUAAUAUAUUAUAAAUACAUGUAUUUAUAACACUUGGAUAAUGAACAUAUUUCAAUAAAGUGUUUCACAUUCUC